AUUUUAUUUUAUUUCCAAUUGUUCCUACUGAGAGCACUAUUUGCUGUUUCCUAUAUCCUGUGGGAUUUGACGGAACCCAAGUCGGACGGACGGACCAACCAUCCCAGUAUAUCCUGAAGUGGGGAUUAUACCACUAAGUGCCCUCCAUCUCAGAGCUGGACUUAGCUCCAUCAAAUGUUUGUUCCAAAUCCUGAUUCUGAUUUAAUUUUUAUCCUUGGAUCUACAAUACUUCACUAUCAGCAGUUCUUUUUGUGUUUCUUAUUUUCACAUAAACGGACGAUUUCUAAC